ensembl:misc_RNA Y_RNA Y RNA
GGUUAGUCCCAGUGCAGUGGUGUUUACAACUAAUCGAUCACAACAAGUUAUAGAUUCCUUUGUUCCUUCUCCACUCCCACUGCUUCACUUGACCAGAAAA